rnacentral:rRNA from 1 species
AUGGCAGAGCUCCGGAAAUUCACGUCGGCCAUUGUAGCUGAAGAAGAAAGAGGAACGCAUGUGAUCAAGAUAGAUGGGUACUCAAGAACCAAGGAGCUGCUUGAGGCUGGCAAGUGUACAACAUCUAUCGCUUUCAAGGUCGGGGAUCAUAACUGGGCUGUGACGUUUUACCCAAACGGUUACAGCUCACCCGGUUUCAUAUCUGUUUAUCUGGUUCUUGAGUCGGCUGAUGCCAAGUUUAUCAAGCAGGAGGAUUUGGAGAGAUCAGUGCAUCUAAGAGGCGACAGUUUCAGAAUCAGGUGUGACGUCACCGUCAUGAAGAAGAUCCGCAGCGAAGAGGCACAUGCAAAUCAAUUUGUUGUCGUUCCUCCGAGCAACUUGCAUCUACAGUUCGGUAGCCUCCUUGAAAGUAAGGAUGGAGCAGAUGUGGCCUUUCAAGUUGGUGGCGAGAUACUCUUGGCUCAUAGGUCCGUGCUCGCUGCUCGUUCACCGGUCUUCAAGGCGGAGCUCUUUGGCGCCAUGAGGGAGAGAGCCGGUGAUCCGAUUGAAAUUCAUGAUAUAGAAGCUGAUGUGUUCAAGUCUCUGCUCCAUUUCAUCUACACGGACUCACUCCCACAAGUUGAUGUUGUGACAGCCAACCAUCUACUUGUAGCGGCGGACAGGUACGACAUUGAGAGGCUGAAGCUGAUAUGCCAAGACAAGUUAUGCAAUCACAUUGGCACCAAAAUGGUUGCCACUAGUUUGGCUUUGGCCGAGCAGCAUAACUGCCAUGGACUCAAGGAGGCUUGCUUUGAUGAUGGUUACCAACAUCUCAAAAGCAGUUGCCCGUCUGCUCUGAAAGAGCUCAUGUUGAGCUGA